rnacentral:lncRNA from 1 species
UGUCUCCCUUUUCCCGCUGGCGCCCUGGGGCUAAUGUGUCUGCAAACGGUGACAUCUGGAUUAAAAGUCCCAGCACAGAUCUGCAGAAGUCCUGCCCCGCCACUAGCUCAACCUGGGACCCUCGGAAAGUCACCCGUUCUUUCCUUCAGUCAAUCAAGCAUCUGGCAAGCGUUGACCAAGCCCUUGCUGGUGCAAACAAGAUUCCUGGUGGACAGAGCUGACUCGCAACACUUGCCUGCAGGGAAGAGCUUAGCGGUGCUGGUGCAGGUGACCUUUACCGCCAUAUGGCAGUGGAGCUUGCUGCUGCGGAAGAGGCCUGCCCAUUCCUCCUGCCAGGGCCUCAGAGAUACCGAAUCCAAGCGGACAAGGCUUGCAUUCCCCAAGACAUGUGGGCUGGAAAAGGCGAGCACAGAAAAAAAGAAUCCAAGACAAGGAAAGCAUGCAGUGUUGAAGCUCACAGCCACUACCGAUAUGGUGGAGUCACAAAUGUAAGUCACUGGAUCAUGACAUGAAGGAAGGCUGCCGCCCAACCAGGAACACCUGCUAGCAGCUAGCAUUACUCUAUUUAAUACACUUGCCAUGUGGGACUGCCAUGAGGAUUAAAGUAGAUGAUUCAUGUGUAACACUCUGUAAUAGGAAUUUUCCUUUUUCUUCAGAUUUCCGGCUAAAUCCCCAAAGCUGCAGACUAAACACCCCUAUAUUACAGAGAACCAUGUGGCUCACACCUGCAAAACUUUGAAUAAACAAAUUACAUGAAAUAUUUAGAUUAGUUUGGGACACAUGUUAACUCUUAAUAUUAUUCAAACUUGUACAUGAUCAGGAAUCAAAUUAUCUCUAAGUUUUAUUAGUUUUAAGUGAUAAUAAGAAUGAAUAUUUUUGUGCUGGUAGAAAGCUAUGAUUUUCAUACUUGGAGGUUUUCAUAGAACAACUGAAUUUCAUAAAAUAUUUAUGAAUCCAAAUACGUAACAUUGCUAACUCCAUUUGCAACAGAAGAAUGAGGGGGAAAGCUCCAAGUACUAUUUACGAUCACCCUCAUUGUUAUGGUUGGGUCCAGAUGUCCUCCCAAAGCCUCACGCGGUCAUAGGUGGCUUUUUCAGGGGUAGGUGAAUCUAGAAUGUGUGAUGCUGGGGGGUUAAGGGCGUGUGAUUACUAAACCAAUACACUGAUUGGUUUGGUCCCGCCCUAAUCCUGGUAGUCUGGAUAAGAUAAAAGGUGCAGAAAGAUGCUGUUAAGAUUUCCUUGCUGCUUUUGCUACUGUGUAGGUGCCAUGAACUGUUUCCCCUCUUCAACGCCCCUCUGGCAUGGGCCACUCUGCCUUAGAACUAGCCAGUUAUGGACUGAAAUCUCUACAAACUGUAAGCCAAAUAAACUCCUUCUCCUUUAACUUUGGGUGUCGAGUAUUUUUGUCUCAGCGAUGAGAGAAAAGUAACUAACAUGCUCAUUUUCUGGAAGAAUGAAUUUUGCAACACCUCAAAAUAGGAAGGAUGUAAUCUCAGACAGUGUAAAAAACAGACCUUCAGAUGGAACCCAUUUAGGGUUAGGAGAUUUCACUGUGUUGCCCUUAUUGUCAAG